UCGAUCAUGGGUGUUUUUGCUCACGAUGAUGAGAACUCCUCCACAUUGGCUCCAGCAAUAUUGUACAAAGCUCUGACCAAAGAUUCAGACAGAAUCAUCCCAAAGGUUCUUCCUGUCAUCCAGAGCAUUGAAACUAUUGAAGGAAAUGGUGGACCUGGAACCAUCAAGAAGCUAACAGCUACUGAAGGUCAGUGUACAUAAAUAUUAAUAAUGUUAAUUUCUCUUAAAACACGAGUCUUAAUCCUUUUGUCUGUAUGAGUUUGGUUAUUUGAUGUUUAACUUUCUUGGUUAACACUAUAGUUGGUUUUUGAGGUUUCUGAUGUUUUAUUAAUAGUUAGAUGGAGGAUUUUGGCCUAUUUAGAGGAGACUAAGGUUAAGAUUUAUUUUUUUUAAUAAGGAUUUGACCAUCUUGAAGUGGUUCAUAUUUAUUUAUUUUCUUUUAUUGAUAAAAAAAAUUAAUAAUGUUAACUUCUUUUUUGCUAAUAUUUACUUUUAGCAUAUGUUCGUUACAAAUUGAGUGUUGCAGAUCCAUAUCUAUAAGUAUGUGCAAAUCUCAUUUUAUAAAUCAAUUUUAUGGGAUUUAACUAGAUUUAAAAUUUACUCUGUGUUGAAUUUGAGUUAGGUUCUGAAAAGGGUUUGUUUUGAUUAUGCAUACAUACAUGUAAUUCAGAUUGUUUUAUUUAAAAUAAUUAUGAUCAAAGUUACUCUUCUUCACUGUACAUUUAUAUGUUUCUUACUUAGUAACAAAAGAUCAAAGUAAAUUUAACUCUAAACCUAUAGAUAAAACUCAAAAUUAAGUUUUUCUUUUUAGAAACUGAUUUCAAGCUAGCAAAGAAUAAGAAUGUUUUUAAUAGUAAAAUUUAUCAUAUUAAACUUUUUGAAGGGUAAGUUUUUGUAUUAUGAUUAAUGUCUUAAACUUUUAAUUUAUUAAUUUAUAUGAGAUCUGUUAGAAAAUGAGAUAGAUUUUCUGAAAGUUUUGUCGGGUAGACUUUUUAGUUAUUUUUAAGAAGGAUUUUCUUGAAAUAACUCUAUUUAUUUAUUUAUUUUUACUGAUAAAAAAAAAAGUUAGAUUUUAAAGAAAAGUAAGUAAAGAAAAUUAUGAUUUUUUGCAGGUGGCGUAACAGGUUUUGUGCUGCAGAGAAUCGAUGCAGUGGACGAAGCAAACCUGGGAUUCGACUACAGCAUAGUGGGAGGACCAGGGUUGCAUGAAAGUUUGGAGAAAAUCACACUUCAGACGAAGGUGGUGGCUGCUCCUGAUGGUGGCUCCAUCUCCAAGGUCUCUGUCAAAUACCACACCAAAGGCGAUGCACCUCUCUUAGAGGCAGUGCUCGAAGAGUCAAAGGCAAGAGGAACUGGUUUUUUCAAGGCUGUUGAGAGUUACGUGUUGGCAAACCCUGCAGAAUACUAGAUCCAUCUAUGCUUCUUCAACAUCUGCUUUGCUUUCGUUUCCUUCUGAGUUUGUUUUAUGUAACAUUCUUAAGUGUUACAAUGGUGUUCCUGAAUUUCGUGUGAUCCAAAAUCUACGUCUCUUGUUGGUGUUCAUGUCGAUUUCCAUCUGUAUUCUGCAAUAAAUAUAUAUAUUAUAAUGCAAUGGAAUCUUAUACUAUUGCAUUUUCUAUUCUUUCUUUCAAUUGCUCUUCUCAAACUCUGCAAUCAACCAUCAUGUUAUAUAUAUAUAUAUAUAUUACUCUAUAAUUCUGGUUAUUAAGGUUUUUUUUUUCCUAGCAAUGAUUUGUAGUAUUUUAUUUUAUCAAUAAUAAAGAUUAAAUAAAUAAGAAUCACUUUAGAAUAAUUCAAUCCUGGUAAAAAACUAUACUCUGAACGAGUACAAAACAAAGACUUAAAUCAACAUUUAGUUAAACAGUUAAGAUUAAUCAAACACACAAAAUUAUCAUUAAAUCAUAUUCAUGCAAACUAGAUGGUUAAGACACCAGUUAAAAUAAAAAAAAUAAGCUAACGGCACCUUAGAGAUAACUUAUGACCAAACUUUUGAUUGAAUAAGAACAAACAUUUUCAACCCUCCAACACCUCUUCUUUAAAAAUUAUCUUAUUUCUGAGAUUCCAAAUCUCACUAAUCCUGAAACUGAAACAAACACCAAGUAAGUGAUUUGUAAGGAUUUGUUAAGAAAAUUUUGAAAAGAAAAUGAAAUGAGAAAAAAAAAUGGUUGAUUUCUAUUAUAUUAAAUAUUUGAUUUUUUUAUUUAUUGGAUUUUUAAAAUAUUAUUGAAAAUUAAUAAAUAAUAUUUUAAAAUAAUUAAUGUUUUUAAAAAUGAUUUAUUUUCAUGUUCCUAACUAGUUUUUCAUUACAGAAAUGCUUACAUUUUAAAAAAAAAAUAAAGACAAUUUUGGCAUUAUAAUAAAAAUAAUCUACCAACUUUCAUUAUUCAAUCACGUAUAUUAAUUAAUUUUCUAGUCAAAUCUAUUAUCCUUUAUUAAAACCAAACUACGCUUUCAUUCACUUUUUCUUUAAAUCGUUACAAACCAAAUAUCUACUUUCCACAGCCUAAUCAAAUCAAAGAGAACAUAAAACCAAAUAGAAGAUAAAAGACAAAAAAAAUUAUGAAUGCAAGAGUAUUGUACCAAAAAAUUUAUAAUUCUUUAUUUAAACGCAUAUAAGAAUAAACAUAUAUCAUGUUGUUUGCCACAAGAACUACACCAUUUUUUAUUAAAAAAUAAUAUAUAAAAAUUGAAAAAAAAAGAUAUAAAUGGGAGCAGUUGAGAUGCUCCAAUCCAUUUAUAAUUAUUGAUUAUACAUAAAAACCAUACACCAUAUGACUCUUAAUUUAAGUUUAUUACUUGAUUACAUAAUCAAAGUACCUAAGUAGUUAUUACAUUUGUAUUAAAAGAAGUUUAAUUAAUUAAUUAAUAGACCUGAUUUGUACAGGUAAGAAAAGGAUAUUUAAUAAUCUUAAUUAAUUAAUGCCGAUAAAAAUAAUAUUAAUUAAUUAAUGAUACAAUAUAGAGUUUGCUUGGAUUAUAUUAUGAUAUAAAACGUCUACAUAAACUUAUAUAUAAACUAAUCACUCGUUUAUUUUGACUUUUCGUUAAUCAAUCAGAUUACUCCAAAAACAUUCAAACUAAUUAUUGAAUAAUAGUAAUUAUUCCCACUUCCAGCAAUAUCAAAUGCCAUGUUUUCAUGAAAGAAAGAUUAUAAAGAUUUAUUUAUAUUUUAUGUUGUUAUUUUGGGUAUUACAGUUUAUUUGGUUGUGAUGCAUGUAGCUUCAAUUAAUACUUGAUUUCAGUGGGAACAAUACAUCACAUUCUACAAC
rnacentral:lncRNA from 1 species